rnacentral:lncRNA from 1 species
CCCAUGUCCACACCAUAUUGUCUCCAGGCAAGAGAAGAGGUGAUAGAGACUCCAGGCUGCAUCCAACUCAGCACAUCCUGAAGCUGUGGGCAGGGACAGAGGUCCUACUUGCUCCAAUACCUUGGCCUUUAGGCCCAUACAAAGGCGUUCGUGGUGCCGGUAGCGAACCAAGCCAGGGGCAACAGCGCGCAGAGAUCGCAGAAACUCCAGUACUCGCGGAAAAUGUUCCACGCAGCGUCCGCGCACAACCUGCCAGCUAGCCGCGGCGGCGAAGCGUAGAGCUGCGGGACCCGCCACCAGGGGCGUAGCCAUGGUCGGCGGGCUCCGCCCGGAGGCGGUCCCUCCGGGUUCCUCACCCGGAUGGGUGAGGCUUUCCGAUCACUCCUAGGGGCGGGGCUUCUGGCAAC